rnacentral:tRNA from 1 species
CGGGGCGUGGCGCAGCAUGGUAGCGCACUACAAUGGGGUUGUAGGGGUCAGAGGUUCAAAUCCUCUCGUCCCGACCA